rnacentral:lncRNA from 12 species
AAGGGUUGAGGCUGUGGGAAUUGCCAGAGAGGUUCUGGAAGGAGCUUUGUUUCUUCCGAGGGUUCUGCCAGGAGAAUUCGGUUAUAUAGCACAGCAAGGGGUCUUCACAGAUUUCAGGGGGGUUGAGCUUCUAACCAGUAAAAUUAUAAGUUGAGAAGUAUCCAAUUACUUUAAGAUUCUAGGUGAGAAAAGACCAGUUAUCUGGUAAAGUUAAAGAGCAGUAGAAAUCCUAAAUGAUAACAGGGGUUUUGGUAGGGAGGGGGAGCAUCUCUCGUGAAAUCGUCUCAGGGCACAAAAUCCCGAGGGCCAUUUUCGGGGACACCUGCACAUCCCCAGGUGUGGGGGGCUCUGGGGUGGCCUGGCAGGGCUCUGACCCCCCCCUGCUGUCCCCAGGUGCUGUGUCCCUGCGCUGACGCCGGCUCGGACAGCAGCAAGAGGCUCAAGUGGCGGCAGGAGCCGGGGCUGUACCGGCUGGACGCCGAGAGCCUGGGGCUGUCAGCGCAGGACCUGCGGGACCCCGGCGCUGUGAUCGUGGCGUUCAAGGAGGGCGAGCAGAAGGAGAAGGAGGGCAUGCUGCGCCUGCGCCACGCCAACGCCCAGAAAGCCGCGCCGCCGCUGCCGGGCCCCCCCCCCCCCCCCCCCCCCCCCCCCCCCCCCCCCCCCCCCCCCCCCCCCCCCCCCCCCCCCCCCCCCCCCCC